GAUGAAGAACGUAGCGAAAUGCGAUAAGUAAUGCGAAUUGCAGAAUUUCCGUGAGUCAUCGAAUCUUUGAACGCACAUUGCGCCCACUGGUAUUCCGGUGGGCAUGCCUGUUCGAGCGUCAUUAUCCUCCCUCAAACCCCGGGUUUGGUGUUGGACCCAAGUUGUGUGAACAACUGGUCUCAAAGACAAUGACGGCGUCCGUGGGACCCUCGGUGCAACGAGCUUUUAGGAGCACGCGCCGAGUUGCAAGGACCUUCCGGGCCGGUCUCCUUUACUAUUUUACAAGGUUGACCUCGGAUCAGGUAGGAAUACCCGCUGAACUUAAGCAUAUCAUAAGCGGAGGA
rnacentral:misc_RNA from 1 species